rnacentral:lncRNA from 1 species
CUAUCGAUAUCUUUGGCCUCUAUAAGGAUUUCCCCUAUACAUGGAUACUUACAUUUCUUUUACAAAUAUUGGUCAUCCCCACACUCUGUCCAAUAAUGGACGUCACUUGUACUGGCCACUCAAUAUCUCAUCUGAUAUGAGUGUCGUUUUUAUUGAUCAUUCUCAUACCUCGUCCGAUAUGGGUGUCAUUAACAAUCUCCCAACCCCGUCUGGUAUGGGACAUCUCAGCCCCGUAUGACUGAGGAUCAUAUCCAUGAUAGGGAUCACCCUAUAUGUUCCCCCCCGAUAUUCGGUAACAGUUUUAUUUAUCUCAUUGCCAUAUUUUAUUUUCAUCAGCAAACCUUGAUGCAGAACCCAGGAUCAACAACAGAAUCCAAAACUCUACAUAUACAUUAGCAAUCAAAAACUCAAGACCCUAAGUAAAUCCUCCCUACUUGAUAUGCACU